AGGUCUCACCUGCCCAGUGAAAAUUUUAAACGGCCGCGGUAUCCUAACCGUGCAAAGGUAGCGCAAUCACUUGCCCUUUAAUUAGGGGCUAGUAUGAAUGGUUGAAUGAGGGCUUAACUGUCUCUUGCAGCCAAUCAAUGAAAUUGAUAUUUUAGUACAAACGCUAAAAUGCUCCCACAAGACGAGAAGACCCUGUGGAACUUUAAAGACUUGCUAGCGGCCCAAAUUAAAUAGGCUAACCUAACAAUGAUUUUAAGUUGGGGCAACUAUGGAGUAAAACAAAACCUCCAAGAAAAACACCUAAAAAGUGUACAUAAGGCCCACACGCCAACUAACGCUUGACCCAGUAAGACUGAUUAGCGACCCAAGCUACCCCAGGGAUAACAGCGCUAUCCCCUUAAAGAGUCCAUAUCGCCAAGGGGGUUUACGACCUCGAUGUUGGAUCAGGACUCCCAGG
rnacentral:rRNA from 1 species